GUAUAUUGUAAUGAGAGAGAUGGCCGAUUGCAGCAGAGAAUGAGAGCAGAGUCAUGAAUGUUCGAGAGGGAGAGGGAGAAGAGCUCGGGAGGGAGAAGCCGAGAGAGAAAGCGAUCGGGAGAUCGCGAGAGAUCGAGAGAGAAGAAGUCGGACGAGGUCUGGCCAGGGACUCGAGCAGCAUCCAUGGAUGCAGCGGCCAUGGCUGGCCAGCCAUGGAGGUCGAGCAGCGCAACCAGCAAGCGGCGGUGGCUGGGGAAUGAGUUGAGGCGGCCGGUGGGUCUUGCGAAAAGCAGCAAUGGUGGCGGAGGCUACCUGGUGCGGCGGCGAACGUAGCUGGGUCGUGCUUGGAAGGCCUGGCUGAGACGUUGCAGCGAAGGCUGCUGUCGACAAUGCUGUUGCAGUGGCUGACGGCCGGUGGUGGCAGUCGCUCGAUAGUGGAAGCAACCAGAUCAGCAUGGGCGUUGGCAGCAGCGACAGACGACGGUGCCAAGCCUGGCAGCGGCUUGCGCAGGCAGCGCUCAACGAAGAAGAGAAGAAGGAGCAGGAGCUAGGCGCGGUGGAGAAGAAGACCAAGGAAGAAGGAAGGAAAAAGAAAAAAAAGAAAAAGGAAAAUGGAAAAUAAGGAAAAUAUGGAAAAUUCCAGAAAAAUUGGAGAAGUUUCUAGAAAUUAUUUUGGGACUCAUGGAACGUGCCGGAAGCUCAAAAUGGAGAUUUGGGCACAAGAGAGCAGUAUAAAAAGCAAGGCCGGUAUGGGCAUUUGGCUACGUUUUUCCCUAGAUGAGUCGAGGUUCGACCGGGAAGGUGGUGAUCCUAGAGGAGCUCGGAGUUCGGGCUAGAGUUCUCGUCGAGGCAGAGAUGAGGCUUCGAGCCAGAUGAUGCAAGUCCAGAUGCAAGCAGGGAUGGUGCCGGGAGGCUGUUAUGGCAAUUAGCUUGUUGCCUGAGAUGUGUUGUUGUGCAAUCUCCUGUAAUUUUUAUAUGUAUUCAUGUAAUUGAAUGUAAACGAUAUUGAACACUAGAUGUAUUUAAUUGUUGAAAUCAUCGUAGUGUGAUAAAUGAUUGUGAGAUUGUUCAUGGAAUAUGGCUUAGUUGGUAAAGCCAAGUUUCGGAUCGAGUAAAGAUCAGCGAGGUAUGUUCUCAUAAAUCCCCAAUACUCAGCGAAAUGUUUGUUAUGCUAGCUUUGUGCCUGGUCACCUCUGGCUUGCUAUGGGGCGAGUUGAAGAGAGGUGA